ACGGGUGAGUAACACGUGGGUAACCUGCCCAUCAGAAAGGGAUAACACUUGGAAACAGGUGCUAAUACCGUAUAACACUAUUUUCCGCAUGGAAGAAAGUUGAAAGGCGCUUUUGCGUCACUGAUGGAUGGACCCGCGGUGCAUUAGCUAGUUGGUGAGGUAACGGCUCACCAAGGCCACGAUGCAUAGCCGACCUGAGAGGGUGAUCGGCCACACUGGGACUGAGACACGGCCCAGACUCCUACGGGAGGCAGCAGUAGGGAAUCUUCGGCAAUGGACGAAAGUCUGACCGAGCAACGCCGCGUGAGUGAAGAAGGUUUUCGGAUCGUAAAACUCUGUUGUUAGAGAAGAACAAGGAUGAGAGUAAAAUGUUCAUCCCUUGACGGUAUCUAACCAGAAAGCCACGGCUAACUACGUGCCAGCAGCCGCGGUAAUACGUAGGUGGCAAGCGUUGUCCGGAUUUAUUGGGCGUAAAGCGAGCGCAGGCGGUUUCUUAAGUCUGAUGUGAAAGCCCCGGCUCAACCGGGGAGGGUCAUUGGAAACUGGGAGACUUGAGUGCAGAAGAGGAGAGUGGAAUUCCAUGUGUAGCGGUGAAAUGCGUAGAUAUAUGGAGGAACACCAGUGGCGAAGGCGGCUCUCUGGUCUGUAACUGACGCUGAGGCUCGAAAGCGUGGGGAGCGAACAGGAUUAGAUACCCUGGUAGUCCACGCCGUAAA
rnacentral:rRNA from 1 species